rnacentral:lncRNA from 1 species
UCUCUCUCUGUUUUUUUUUGGCCGUCGCCAUCCCUCAAAUCACCCUGGUCUCGCAUCAUAAAGCUACCAACUUGGCCCUCCUCCACUUAUAUUUUGACUGUUCAAAGAUACUCUUUCGAUGCAGAAAUUAUAACCUGUGUCAUGUGCACCACCGUGGCAAUCAUAUAUAUCUCGGUUUCUAUAAACCUUAUUCAUCAUUCGCUCGUUUCCGCUUGCUGCCUCGCGCAUCUUGACUCAAUUUAUUCUUGUGAUGCACUGCUGAUGUUCGCAUGGCG